UACGAAGGGGGCUAGCGUUGCUCGGAAUUACUGGGCGUAAAGGGCGCGUAGGCGGCCUGCUAAGUCGAACGUGAAAUCCCUGGGCUCAACCCAGGAACUGCGUCCGAUACUGGUUGGCUUGAAUCCGGGAGAGGGAUGUGGAAUUCCAGGUGUAGCGGUGAAAUGCGUAGAUAUCUGGAGGAACACCGGUGGCGAAGGCGGCAUCCUGGACCAAUACUGACGCUGAGACGCGAAAGCGUGGGGAGCAAACAGG
rnacentral:rRNA from 1 species